AGGUCCUACGGGGGGCAGCAGUCGCGAAACCUUUGCAAUACACGCAAGUGUGACAGGGUCAUCCCGAGUGCCGACCGCUGAGGUAGGCUUUUACCCAGUCUAGAAAGCUGGGGGAAUAAGGAGAGGGCAAGUCUGGUGUCAGCCGCCGCGGUAAUACCAGCUCUCCGAGUGGUGUGGACGUUUAUUGGGCCUAAAGCAUCCGUAGCUGGCUGAGCAAGUCCCCUGUUAAAACAAACGAUUUAAUCGUUGGCGUGCGGGGGAUACUGUUCGGCUAGGGGACGAGAGAGGCAGGCGGUAUUCCCGGGGUAGGGGUGAAAUCCUAUAAUCCCGAGAAGACCACCAGUGGCGAAGGCUGCCUGCUAGAACGCGCCCGACGGUGAGGGAUGAAAGCUGGGGGAGCGAACCGGAUUAGAUACCCGGGUAGUCCCAGCUGUAAACGAUGCAGCCUCUUUGGAUGGGUACGGCCACGUGCCGUUCUAGUUCCGCAGGGAAGCUGUUAACUCUUUUGCCUUCCCGUACGAUCGCAAGAUUGAAACUUAAAGGAGUUUUCCAAGAGCAUCACAAGGGGUGAAGCUUGCGGUUUAAUUGGAUUCAACGCCGGAAGGCG
rnacentral:rRNA from 1 species